GUUAUCCUCUCGCCUCAGCCUCCCAAAGUGCUGGGAUUACAGGAGGCAAGGUUGUCUGGUGAGAGUACAUGGGAAAGGAGAUGGAAGGUUGGAGGUGAGAGCAAAGAAGGUUUGCUGCAGAAGUUGUGGAGAGAGGGAAGACAAGACAAGGAGAGAAAUAUGACGGCUGCCAAGGAGGAUUAGCACCCAGGUGGAGCAGUUUCGACAUGACAGCUCGCCAGUUUCACAAUGCAUACCUUCCUUAUCAGAGACCGUUGAUGAUGGAGAUGCUCUGGCCAGUCUAUAGAGAAUGCACAGAGGAUUUUCGGUCCUCUGCUUCACCUUCUGAUGUCAGAAGGCUGAAAACUCCACACUCAGAUUAUGCUAAUGCUGCCAUUUGUGUACAUGUGACCCAUGAAGAGGUAUGAAGCUCAAGUGCACAUGCAUGCUUCUCCUUUCAUAAACAUUAAUGAUUCCUCCUAUUACUUAUUAAAUAUGUAUAUUUGGCCACUAUGCUCAGCAUACAUUCCUGUCUUAUGCUUCCUUCCCUUAAGGUGCCUAUUUCUGGCUUCUGGCUGGAGGCUACACUUCCCAG